GCUGUUGCUCAGUGGUAGAGCGCUUGCCUAGCAUGUGUGAGGCACUGUAUUCAAUAUCCAGCACCACAUUAAAAAUCAAUCAAUCAAUCAAUCAAUCAAUAAAGGUGUUAUUAAAAAAAAAAAAUACACUGAGCUGUGGAGUUAAGUGGUAGAGUGCUUGCCUGGCAUGCACAAGGGCUUGGAUUCAAUCCCCAGCACUGCA
rnacentral:tRNA from 1 species